AAGAGAUCAAGAAAGAAGGUAGCUGCUAACUAAUCUUCUAAGCGGUUAAAUUCCGUUUAUCUCUUU
rnacentral:tRNA from 1 species